GACGAACGCUGGCGGCGUGCUUAACACAUGCAAGUCGUACGGUAAGGCCCUUUCGGGGGUACACGAGUGGCGAACGGGUGAGUAACACGUGAGUAACCUGCCCACAACUUUGGGAUAACGCUAGGAAACUGGUGCUAAUACUGGAUAUGUGCUCCUGCUGCAUGGUGGGGGUUGGAAAGCUCAGGCGGUUGUGGAUGGACUCGCGGCCUAUCAGCUUGUUGGUGGGGUAGUGGCCUACCAAGGCGGCGACGGGUAGCCGGCCUGAGAGGGUGACCGGCCACAUUGGGACUGAGAUACGGCCCAGACUCCUACGGGAGGCAGCAGUGGGGAAUAUUGCACAAUGGGCGCAAGCCUGAUGCAGCAACGCCGCGUGCGGGAUGACGGCCUUCGGGUUGUAAACCGCUUUCAGCAGGGACGAAGCUUUUUGUGACGGUACCUGCAGAAGAAGCACCGGCUAACUACGUG
rnacentral:rRNA from 1 species